UACGUAGGUGGCAAGCGUUGUCCGGAUUCACUGGGCGUAAAGCGCGCGCAGGCGGUCUUCUACGUCUGGGGUGAAAACCCGGGGGCUCAACCCCCGGGACUGCCUUGGAUACGGGAAGACUUGAGGAUCGGAGAGGCAAGGGGAAUUCCACGUGUAGCGGUGAAAUGCGUAGAGAUGUGGAGGAACACCUGUGGCGAAGGCGGCUCACUGGACCGGAACUGACGCUGAGGCGCGAAAGCGUGGGGAGCAAACGGG
rnacentral:rRNA from 1 species